CUGCUGCCUUCCGUAGGAGUUUGGGCCGUGUCUCAGUCCCAAUGUGGCCGUCCACCCUCUCAGGCCGGCUACUGAUCGCUGCCUUGGUGGGCCGUUACCCCGCCAACUAGCUAAUCAGACGCGGAUCCAUCGUAUACCACCGGAGUUUUUCACACUGCCCCAUGCGGAGCCGUGCGCUUAUGCGGUAUUAGCACCUAUUUCUAAGUGUUAUCCCCCGGUAUACGGCAGGUUAUCCACGCGUUACUCACCCGUCCGCCACUAA
rnacentral:rRNA from 1 species